CCUACGGGAGGCAGCAGUGAGGAAUAUUGGUCAAUGGCCGGGAGGCUGAACCAGCCAUGCCGCGUGAAGGUCAGUGCCCUAUGGGCUUUAAACUUCUUUUGUGCGGGAGCAAUAAUGGUCACGUGUGGCCAGACGAGAGUACCGUACGAAUAAGCAUCGGCUAACUCCGUGCCAGCAGCCGCGGUAAUACGGGGGAUGCAGGCGUUAUCCGGGUUUAUUGGGUUUAAAGGGUGCGUAGGCUGGGAGGUAAGGCAGGUGGGAAAGGCCCCCGCGCAACGGGGUGAAGUGCCAUUGAUACUGCCUUGCUGGAAUGCGGAUGCGGUGGGAGGAAUGUGUGGUGUAGCGGUGAAAUGCAUAGAUAUCACACAGAACACCGAUUGCGAAGGUAUCUCACGAAUCCGCGAUUGACGCUGAUGCACGAAAGCGUGGGUAUCAAACAGGAUUAGAUACCCCAGUAGUC
rnacentral:rRNA from 1 species